GCCAGAGCGCCGCCGCGCCGCGGUGCAGGCUGGGAAACCGCCGGGAGGACCCGCGGCCGCCCAGGCGCCGGAGCCCUGGGAACCGCCCGGGGUACCCGCCGACGGAGCCUCGGCGGCCUGCUGGGGCGAGUGGCGGCAGCGCGCGGGAACCUCGGCACUCGGCGGGGCCGGAGUCCGGGCAGCCGGCGGAAUGGAGGGAGCUGGGGCCUGAGGAACCGGCCGCCUGGGGCAGUCCCGCGGGUUCAGCUUGGCCUCUCACAGGCCACCUACCAACCCUUCCUGGUUCUGGCUGACAAGUAGAUCCCAGACAAGCCCCCACUUAGGAACAAGCUCUUCCUUCAUCUCCUAGAAGUCCUGGCUGGUAAGCCCUCUUUGUGAAUUAAGCAAUACACACAGUCCAGCAGGGUCCUCCCCUGGGUGCCUAUAUUUCUUUUUGUGCUCCAGGUAUCCAGCUGGUCGGGGCAUUAGCUCAUCAGGCUCUACAGGCCUGGGAGGCCUGGCAGGGGUGCUCCAAAAAAGCGAGGCUUAAACGCGGCAAAGCAGCGAAUAAUCGGCUUUAUUGAAGGCAAGUGACACACCCGCAACAGGGACUGCAAGCGUUGCUGUCACGGAGGCAGAGAGCCCAGCGCACCGGAGCAAUGCCUGGGACGGAGUCCAACGAAGGGGCGGAUAGCAAGCAUUAAUAUACACUUAACAUUAUCAGCUCAUGUAUAAUUACUGAGGGGUUGUGCUCCUUUACUGGCAAGGGGCCACACGAGGCAGUCAAGGCCGGUUGAGGACCGGUUUCGACCGGUUCCUCAUGUCCGACACUGACAGAUAGUAACCGUCUGCACGAGAAAGCGUUCUUCCCUAACUAGGCCGUCACAGAGUCUUCCGCAGUCCCUUACAAUUUCAUUAACCUAUUUCUGUGCAUUAUUCAACAAGGCAUUUAAAAGCAAGUUCUGACCUUGCAUAUGCUACUCCUGGGGGAAUUCUGCACCACUGAACGUGUGCAGAAUUCACAUCCCCCGAAGAUUUCUUUGCUUCCCUGCAGAAAAAUGACUUUCUGACUGGGAAGCAAAGGAAAGCAGCAAGAGUGGUCACGCACCCCUCCCCAGCAGAGCAGAUGCAUUGUUUCAGGCACCCAGAGCAGUUGGCAGAGAGGUAAAUCACAGCAGGGGCUGGGGAUGCCCUGGCUGGUGGUUCUUACCCUGCACCGGUCCCAGCUGCUAGUCCUAGCUGGACUGGGGAUGGGGAAGGAAGGGACUUCCUCUUCCCCUGCAAGGAGCAGCCGUGGCCAGGUCAGACACACCACCAGAAACCUUCCCUGGCUGUAGGAAGCUCUGCCCCCAUCACACACUUCCUGCCCCAUUGCUCGUCAGCUGCUGGGAGAGGGAUCACUAUAUGGGGAGCUGCUCCCCAUCCGCCACCCAUACAUCUGGACCCCCCCAUACCCAGACUCCACUGUUGAGCCUCACCUGCCCGCACCCAGAACCUCCCCAAUGAGCCUCCCCACACCCAAACCCCCACUCCACUGAGUCUCACCCCCUGCAUCCCCUCACUGGGCCCUCCACACAAACUCCCAUCCCACCAAGCCCCACUCCGCCAGCACCCAGACACCCCUGCUGAACCCCACACACCUGAUGCCCCACUGAGCACCAUCCCCUCAUACCCAGACCCCCCCUCCUGAGCCCCAACCAUCUUCACCUGGACCCCUCUGCAGAGUCCCAUUACCCCUGCACCCAGAACCUCCAAAUCCCCCUGCACCAAACUGCCUGCACACAGAUUGCCCCACACAGAACUGUCUCACCCCACACCAAGCCCCUCUAUGAACCUACCUGCCCCACACCUGGUGCGCCUGGUGUGGAGGGCAGGUCUGGGGCAGACCUGGCUUUUGUGCUGUGUCAGGGUCAGGUGCCGCUUCACUGCCACGUCUGUGUCCUGCGGGGGCUGCAGGGUGAUCUCCCACCUCUGUGCAGCCAAUGGCUUGUGCUCCCCACUGCCAUGCUGGAGCCUCCACAUUUGUUUACUGACAAAUAAAAUUUGCAGAAUUUUAAAAUAUUGUGUGCAGAAUUUUUUUGGGGUGCAGAAUUUUUAAUUUUUUGGUACAGAAUUCCCUCAGGAGUAAUAUGCAGAAGCAGUUCCCAAGACUUUAAAGGAAGCUCCAUGUGCAACAUCCAAAGGCAGAAUACGAUCAUAAUGUUUUUCCCAAAAAAGUGCAGAUUAAUGUAGCUUUUGCUCCUCACUUACAGUACAAGUAUAUUGGUAGAGAAGAUAGAACAGGGCAGGAUCAACAUCUGCAGAGAAAGCACUCAUAAAGAGUCUCUGGACUCAGACAACACAGAGGUAGGAUUGCUAUAACUAGAAUGCCCAGAGGGUUUGGGUAUGGAUUCAUUGUACUCUGUGAUCUGCAUUGACUUCCAUUUUGUUUUCAGGUCAGUGAAAAAAAUGUGUUACCUAAGGAUUACCUUUUAGGAUUGCCCUCUUGCUCAGUCCAGGAUAUUUGGAUUGCACCUCUCUUCCUGUAAAUACUGAUAGCAUCUCAGAUGCAUUCAGGAGGCUCUGAAGUUUGGUCACACACACCCCUGCUGCCCUCAUUCUGGAUGAAUAGUUCCAGCACUGUUUUGAAAGACUAAAUUCUUAUUAGGAUGUUACCAUAACACCUGUUAAAUCAUAUUCACUACCCAUAUGGACUCCGUAGAGAUGAUCAAAGAUGGACUUUAUACAUGCAGAGAAUUGUUUGGGGUGGCGCGAGGGGAAUCAGGGUGGUAAAAUAGGACUACCAGAAAGAAAAUAAUCAGGUAACAAAUGUUCCAUCCUGGACCAUGAUCUUUACCUGAACUGGGGACAUUUAGGACAUAGAGAACAGUAAGGAAAUAGUAGGGACUAGGAGAUAUGUAAGAUGGAAAGGAUUUCCUUAAAAAUUAAUAUAGUGAGACUUUUAAGGGACUUUAUGGAGAAUGUUCCUGAUGAAGGGUGCUUCUACAGAGGAAUGAAGGCUAAGCCUGGAGUGUUUUCUCAAUGAGUUAAUGGAUGACCAAGUGGAUUAGAAAUUUCUUCUGUAGCAGCAGAUUCUGUUUCUGCCCAGGAUGUCAUUGUGGCGCAUGUUGAAUGGGCUCUGAUUCCUUCUUGGACAAGUUUGUCACAGAUGUGUAAGCUGCAGCAAUACUUGUCCACUUGGCUCUGGAAGGUUUAGGAUUUUCAGGGCCAGGCAUGUAGGGUGAAAGGAAACAAAUAAAAGGUGAUGUUUUCCUGGACUGCUCUGCGCUACUAUGGUAAAUUUUAGCAACUCAGGCAAAUUAAAAGGAAGUAGUGAUCUCCUGUGAUAUAUAAUGAGAGUUCACUUUACUCGUGACUGCUUCUGCAGUAUGAGGAACCACUUGGGCUCCUUGGAAGGUGCAGUAAGACUUGUGCUUUCUAAAAGCAGAAAUUUCAGAGACUCCCACUCAUUCAGAAGGGAGAAUGUACAUCUUUGCCACAAACUUUUUUGUUAGAGUGAACUUGUCUUUGCUGUGCGUGGAACGGAGGGACUAACAGCAACAGAGCAGGCAGAAGUGAACAGAUGUUGUUGAAUGCAGUUUCCUGGCUUCUGCUAUUUUUUGCUGAUUUUUUUCCCCGUGUUCACACUAUGAUAAGUGGACUAAGAAUUAAAAUGCAACCAUGUGACAAUUUUCUCUUACAUGAACCAAAAUGCAUCUUUUGAUUCGGUAACUGUUGGUUAGUUACAGUCUCUGUGCCUUAAACUGAAUAUUACAUACUUUCUUAUGGCCAGCAAUGAAAUAGUGGUUGCGAAUGCAGUGGACACACCAUGUUUUCUUUCCUGCCCAAAGCCGGAAGGGACUUUCUCUGUAUGACAUGCAAACUGGUGGCUGUGCUGUAAGAAAAGAUUCGUGGUCUGGAAGGACAAUUACAGACACUGUGGAGCACCAGAAAGACUGAGGUGUUUUUGGAGAAUCAGAUCCAGGAAGCAUCACAAUUUCAAAGUCCAGAAAGGAACCGGUCUCCAAGGAACCAGAAAAAGUGGAAACUAGAGGAAACUUGGCUGUUCAUAGUCACCAGAGGCAAGAGGACCAGGUGGCAUUCUACAUAGCUGGAAGCAAAAGUGGAAGGGCAGGCUGUGACUACUAGAGAGAAGAGGACUAGGAAGAACAGCACAAAGCUAGAUGUAGCCACUCGUUAUGUUCUCAGGCUGGAAACUGCAGAAAACAUCUCUGAUGAUCAAGCUGGAUGAAUGGAAUGGAGAGUUGUAUGGGACAUACCUGCUAAUGGCUUCUCAAACCAACCUAAAAGAAAAGGGAAGUGUGUACACAAAGAGAGCUCCUACUGUCCAAGGAAGACUGAUGAUCCUUGUUGGCGGAUUCUGUACUAAGAAGAAUGGGAAGAACAUUCUGCAAGAGACAACAGGAUGGUGUGCUGUCUUCGUGGAGACAAGACACAGGAUGUCACUCCAAGAUCGGUUAGGGAUCUGAAGUCAAUAGGCCAGGCACCACUGGUGAUGGAUGCGUGUCAGCACUAAUGACAAUGCUUUGCAGGAUACCUCAGAGAACAGAGAUGACUUCAGGGAACUCUGAAGGUUGCCGAAGAAAAAGAACGUCCAAGUGAUCUUCUAACAGAGCUUUCCUGUCCCAUGAGUGAAGGAAGACAGAAGGCGGAAGAUUCUGGAAAUGAACAGCUGGGAUAUGUAAAGAAACCCAUUUGUCUGUCAAAACGUUUACUGUAAGUAAACAAGAUGAUCAUCGCAGCUCACUGAAUUAAUGGGGUGAAUCCUGUAACUGGUCUGUGAGCUAGUACAUCGAACACAUCACCAGCCACCGACAGUACCAGGAGGGGUGAGCCGGUACAACAUCGUGCAUCAACUAUGGGAAAGGGACUGAGAGAUUUUUUCCAUUGGACCAUAUGAACUGGAACCAUAAACUCACUGAACAUUAAAUCCCACCAAAUGAGGGUAGAUCCAUCUCCAUCGUCGUAUCCACUCAUUAUAUUCCACACCUGAACAUAGCCAUUAUAUGGACAACAUACCCCCAUAUCUCAGUGUCUGUACUUUGACCCGUUAAACUUUUACCUCCAACCGGGGAGAUUGCAGAUUAUGUAUUCCUUACGCCACUCGUUCCUAAACCGAAUUUCGCACCCUUUGAUAAUCUGUACCUUAUUCCCUGAUAACCAGAAACUUGUAUGCUUAAACUCUGUACCGUUUUCUUUUUACUUCAACAUUAUCUUAA